rnacentral:rRNA from 1 species
GACGAACGCUGGCGGCGUGCUUAACACAUGCAAGUCGAACGGAAAGGCCCUGCUUUUGUGGGGUGCUCGAGUGGCGAACGGGUGAGUAACACGGGAGUAACCUGCCCUUGACUUUGGGAUAACUUCAGGAAACUGGGGCUAAUACCGGAUAGGAGCUCCUGCUGCAGGGUGGGGGUUGGAAAGUUUCGGCGGUUGGGGAUGGACUCGCGGCUUAUCAGCUUGUUGGUGGGGUAGUGGCUUACCAAGGCUUUGACGGGUAGCCGGCCUGAGAGGGUGACCGGCCACAUUGGGACUGAGAUACGGCCCAGACUCCUACGGGAGGCAGCAGUGGGGAAUAUUGCACAAUGGGCGGAAGCCUGAUGCAGCAACGCCGCGUGCGGGAUGACGGCCUUCGGGUUGUAAACCGCUUUCGCCUGUGACGAAGCGUGAGUGACGGUAAUGGGUAAAGAAGCACCGGCUAACUACGUG